CACACCAAAUUAUAUCAGCUACGGAUAUAACCCAUUAUUUUUAAUGCUAUCAUUCUUCCACACAAGGCAAGGAAAUGGGGGCAUGUGAGGGAGAAAUUUAAACAACAACAACUAAAACAACAAACACGCAACAGCACAAGAUUUACACGAGCUCGUCCAUCACUUUGCUCGGCCUCUGCAUGGAAAACAUCUGCAUGUUACAAACACUUUCAUGUCUAACGUGCAGACUGCGGGCCCUCCUGUCCGCUGAAUGGCACAUUCACGGGGCAUUGCCUCUCUGAUGUCAGCUGCCCUCGCUGGGAAUAGGCAGGCCGAAUGUUGCUCCGAGCAGCUGAACACACACCACCUGCUGAUCCCAGUGAGUUCAUAGCACUUGUCUGCAAAUAUAAAAUAUUGGAAGGGUCACAGUUAUUGUGCCUUUGGAGAUAUUAAAGUUUAGAAGCUGCCUGUAAUGCCUGAUGUAUAGUAGAGCCUGAUCUUUCCAUGGAAAGUUGAUGGCUCCUACAAGAUAAACGUUGUGUGGGUAAAAUAAAUAGUCUUUCUCUGAGGAGCUAAUGCAUGAUGUUUGGUUUACCAGUGGUGCCGAAUCCAGUGGGAACAUACCCAUAAUUAUAGCAGGGAACCAUGUCGCUUUCUAAGCUCAGAGAUCUGCUGGGCGAAAGGCUGACUGGUAACGCAGGACACCAGCUGAGAUGUCUGCAAAGGUCCCUUUUGGGGCUUUUUGUCUGCAGGUAAGGACUUGGCUAACCAGUUCUGCUUCCAGCCUUUGUGUUAGAGCAGCUCUGCCUGCGCACACAUGGCAGUCUGCAUGUUCUUGUUGCUUGUUGGAGGUGCAGGGACAGGUUCCCGUGCUAGGGGCAAUCAUAAAAGACGGUUUAGAAGCAGGCCAAAUCGGUGGGCGAGGAGCAAGGGACACACACAGGGCCAGCUGUGCAGUAAAACAACUCUGCUUUUAACCCAUCACAGCAGCAGCAGCGGCUCAGCACCUAACCACUCACUUGGGAUGGGAUUCCUCCGGCCCUGUGUGGACAUCUACAGCCGAUCCAGAGCUAAAUGCUCUCUGCAGCUGUCGGGGAGUGAUACCAAUCUCCUCCUGAGGUCGUCCUGGCUAUUUUGCUGGACCAUCCCUGUAAGGCUGCUCUGCCCUGCUCCUCUCUGCCUCCAGCAGUACUAUUAA
rnacentral:lncRNA from 1 species